rnacentral:rRNA from 1 species
UACGUAGGGUGCAAGCGUUAAUCGGAAUUACUGGGCGUAAAGCGUGCGCAGGCGGUUUUGUAAGUCUGACGUGAAAUCCCCGGGCUCAACCUGGGAAUUGCGUUGGAGACUGCAAGGCUAGAAUCUGGCAGAGGGGGGUAGAAUUCCACGUGUAGCAGUGAAAUGCGUAGAGAUGUGGAGGAACACCGAUGGCGAAGGCAGCCCCCUGGGUCAAGAUUGACGCUCAUGCACGAAAGCGUGGGGAGCAAA